ACCACACUGCAGCUUAAAUACACGCGUAAUGAGGCAAAAUACCGCUUUCUUAAAUUAAUUACAUGAUACGUGAAUGUCCUGCUUUGUCUUCCAAUAAGAUAAGCUCGGUGGCUAUAAAAACUCAUACAUUUAGCUGAUACAAAUUAAUUUUGUACUUUGGAAAAAAAAAGUAGCUGAUUUUUGGCUUGUUGAGGCUUCUACAUAUGACAAACCACAAGAUGGCACUGCCUGAGCAGGCUUUUAGAAAUGUCCUGGAGUGCCACUAGCAGGCAAGCAAGUUACUUUGCAAGUUCUAGAGCACAGCAAUGGUGUUUGACAUUCUGUUAGCUAUAUACGCAGGGAUGGAUAUAACUGGUAAGCAAGUACGCAUUCACCUUUAAAAGCGAUAUGUGCAGCAAUCGGUUGUUGUAACAGUGUGAAUUCGUACGUACUUUAUGUGCAUUUGCGGCGAUAUGACAAGAAAUUACCGUGCAUUUUAACCUUUAAUUUUCCUUACUUCUUUAUAUUACGUUUUCUCUGCUUUAUUUCAGUCAGUCUAACAUAUUGCGCCACAGCCUUCAAACCGAAUUUUCAUAGCAGACUUCAGUUAGGAGUACGCCUUAGUAAUGAUUAACCUGGGACUCACCAGGGAGGUGUGGGGGGAUACUAUUGUAAAUUGCUUAGUUUUAACUAUAACAGCCUUAAUAAUCCUAUUAAACACUGUGAAAUACUGCAAUACCUUUAUCACUGAAGGGCUCGUAUGAUGCUCUUUCAAGAAACUCAUUUUAAACCAUCAGACGACAGAGUUGUGGAUGGACAGAUCACAUCUAUCAUUCUACAGUCUUUCUGCUGUAGAGCAAGGGAUGUAACAAUAUUGUUGCAUACAUCUAUUCCCUUUGUUCUUUGCAUAUCUGAUGUGGAUUCCCGAUCCAAAUGGGAGAUCUGUCAUAAUUACUAGUUUAUUGUUCAUUACACCUGUACUAUUGGUUAACGCAUGUGCUCCUAAUUGCGAUGAUAUUUUCUUUAAGCGUCUGCUCUCACUGGUACCUGAUACCUCUAAAUAUCACCUUAUCUUGGGGAGUGAUUUAAAUUGUCGCUUUAAUCCAAAAUUAGAUCAUCCAUCCCCCAAGAUAGCUCUGCCUUCAAAAUCUGUCGAAAUGAUAAAUUCUUUUACCAAAGAAUUUAAUGUGUCAGGUGUUUUCACAAUUCUUUAAUCCCACUCGAAAAGAGUAUAGUUUUUUUCUCUCAGAUUCAUCACACGUUUACCCAAAUUGACUAUUUCUUAGUUGAUAAGACUUCUUGCUCAAUAUCUAAGUAGCUAUGAUAAAAUAGCUUUCUCAGAUCAUGCUCCAGUCUCCUCGAAAAUUUUGUUAGAACAUGGUGUCCUUGACGGUUCAACACUCAGUUGCUUUCUUUGUUGAUUUUAUUUCACAACAAAUUGCCAAUUUUCUUUCUUUAAAUAAAUCUCCAGAUGUAUUUGUUUCCAUAUCGCUGGAAACCUUGCAGACUGAUACCAGUGGGCAGAUUAUCUGAUAUGUAAGCAAUAAUAGAGAGCUGUGGAAGGAGAAGAUGGCAUAUUUAACACAGCGUGAAGCAGAUCUUGACAAUUGAUAUGUUUCUCCCCAUCUGCUGAUGUUUAUAAGGAGCACCUAACGAUACAAGCAGAGUAUGAAUUUCUAGUGUCUCAACAUACUGCUGAACUACUGAUGCAAACAAGGUCUCAUUAUUACGAGCAAAUCCUCUAGAAAUGAAUAAUGCAUUCAAGCUUUUCUCCUCUCACUUGUUGUCUAGAGUUCAAUAGUUUCUUUAGGGAUUUAGCCAUUCCUUCAUAGGAAUGUGUGGCUGUGAAUGAUUUAGAUGACACUAUCACUGUAACUGAACUGACCACCAUGGCGGCUGCUUCGCAAAGUGGUUAAUGUCCCAGACCUGAUGGCUUUCCUUCAGAGUUCUAUAAAAAGUUAUGGCCCCAGUUGUCCUCUCUCCUAUUGGACAUGUUCAACAACCUGAACCUCUUGCCCAAGCUAAUAUUUCUCAUGCUAAAAAAGGGGAAAGAUCCUCAUUCUUACACCUCCUUUCACCUAAAGGCUUAUUGAAUACGGACUAAGAUCCUGUCCAAAGCACUGGCCCUUCAGGCUUGUUUGACCAGAUUGAGUUCCUUGUCAGAAUUUUGUUGGUGGUUCCAGUGUCUUCAUGUGAAGCUGAGAGGAGCUUCAGUGCAUUGCGCAGAUUAAAAACAUGGCUAAGGGCUACUAUGGGUCAAGACAGACUUCACAGUCUAUUAGUCUGCAAUAUGCAGAAAGACGAGCUGGACAACUUUAACAUAAACAACAUAUGGUAAGAGUUUGUGGGGCCCAGUGAUACCAGGAAAAACACAUUUGGUACUUUUGUUUAGUGUCUAGUGUGAUGGUGUCCAUGUGGCUGGUGUAAGGUGGGGUAGGAGGAUUCUGAACCGUAUGUUAGGCCUAGUGCACUUAUGGAUUGUGCUUGUUUGUUAUAAUGAAAUAAGCUUAUAAACUAAACACAAUAUAUUUUAAAGGUACAUGUUUACAUCAGUAUCUACAUGGAAAGGGAGCAGACACAGGAAAAAGGUAUUGAAGACCCUUGAUAUGAUAUUGCUGUUUUUGAUUUAGAUUCCAAAGUUAACCCUUUAUUUAAUUUAUCCCUUUUCCCCAAGUAGAACGCUGCAAUAAUCUUUAUUAUUUUGCUUUGGAGUCGGAAAUCACUAGGAGAGCUCCUCAGGCAUCUCCAGCCUAUAAUUCCUGGGAAAUGCCACCUGCCACCCAUCCUUGGAAGCGUCGCCCAUUCUCAGGAUCUCAUACGUCACCAUUCAUCACAGAGUCACAGCGCUUGCAGACAUCUGGUAUGGAUUAAGGCACAGUCAGCCUGGAUUAAGGCAUCACCAGCCUGGCAUCAGACUCUCCGGACAAUGCCAGCCCAGAGGGGGCUGACCUGGAGGACAUUCCCCCGGAGGACAUGGAGUGGGAGCCUCCAGGUCUUGCCCUGAGUCCCACUCCGUGGUGUCAGCCCCGUGGCCAAAGUUUCCCCAGCCGAGGAGGCUAUCGCCGCGACAACGGCAGGGUCAACGGAAAUCCAGUCGUGGGCUCAGCUCCGGGAGGAAAAAACGAGGGUAUGCUACCCAGACCUGCCUCCUGAUCCAGGCUUGGUCCAAGAUGGUCUUUCAGGGUAUCCCAUCCAAUGGUUCCCAAAAGGAACCACCUCCGGUCUCCUCAUGGCGCUGGUACUGGCCUGUGUUUUUGUUUUGCAGGGUCCCUGGUUUGGUCCAGUUCCUGUCCUGCCUGACCCUCGACACCCUCCGACUCUGCCAACCCCUCGCCGUCUACCGAUGCUGUUCUUCCCUCGGCUGCCGCAGACGAGUGGAGCUUCUACAGACCCAGACAGGAUUCCAAAGGCCCCCCUGGCCGUGACCCUUCUGCGGCACCCCGGAGCCCAUCAGAGGCCCUGAACUGUUCACUUUACCUCCCAUGCUACCUAGUGUCUUGCCCCUCCUAAUACCUCAGUCUUUGGUCUGUAGUCUUGCUUCCCCGUGGCUCUCCCUGGUUUCACCUCUUAGCCUGAUUUCACUGUUCCAGCCCCCACUCCAGUCACUCUUGCUUCCCGCUUUAGGUUCCCCUCUCCUGGCCAUAUUAUUGUUGCACUGGUUCCAUUGCUUGCCUGUCUUGUCUGGUUGUGUCCUGCCUUGUCUGUCCCUGUGCCAUCUUUGGUCCUUUUGAUGCCCAAUCCCUCCCUUUUGUCUCCUUCUACUGUGUCCUUUGUUCCCACUUACCCACUGACACCCACUGUCUGUCUUUUGGUCCAUAGUCAGCAUCCCUGUUGGAUUACCUGGCCUGUCAUGAGUUGUGUCCUGGGGGUUAGUCUCCCCUGUUGUCCUUGGUUUUGCCCUGGUCUGUGUGUCCCCUUAAUGAUGCCCUUGUACCCGGAGGGCACAGGAUUGGGAGGGGGGCGUUUACUGUCAUGUCUUGCCCAUUUAGUCAACCUUCCUCCCCUUCUGUCAGUCACUAUCAGCUUCCUUGUGUUUUCCCAUUCCUUAGUCUGGUAAAGUGCCCAGUCUUAUCUUCUCCAGUUGUGUCCUUGUCUGUUUGCGUCUCUGUGCCCAAACCUGCCUGUCAAUAAAACUCCCCACGAAGGGGAUUCUGCCCUACA